UGACACUACUGAACUGUACAGUUAAAAUGGCUGACCUUUCACUACUGAACUGUGCAGUUAAAACGGUUAAGGUGUAGCUUUCACAUGCUUAAAUUGUGCCACUUUUUUUAUUAGUGUAGGGAAAAGAAGAAAAGUGUCCCUCUUAGUCCCGUGAUUUUCGAGAGCAUCUUUACCAGACGCUUGGUUUGGUCCAACUCGAAGCAGAUAGCCAUUAAGCCAUUCAGGAAUGUGUCCUCGGACCCGAGCAGAGACAGCGCUCAGAGUCUCCUCCACCGUGGUCAGCAGUGGGGCAAUGCAUGGCAGACUCUGCUUCGGUCCCAACAUGGUUUCCUGGGUACCAGCAUGGAUUCUCCAUUCGGAACCACACCAAUCCUUGGCCGCAAGAGUAAAAGCCUUUCCUGUAAUCAGGAGCUGAGCAUCA